rnacentral:lncRNA from 1 species
GCGGCGGCGUCUGGGAAGGCAGGGCGCGCCUCCUAGGGUUGGCCAGGGAGCAGGGGGGCGCUGGCUGGGCCUGGCAGGCCUCCAGCGGGGCCAAGGGGAAGGGGAGGGCGCCUGUUGGGCCAAGGGAAGGAGGCAGGGGAGCUGGGCCUGGGAGGGAAAACAGGGGGAGCGAGCGGGCCGAGGUGCUGCGUCGCUGGGCCGGGGCGAGGCAGAGGAGGGGAGCUGGGCCGCUGGGGAGAUCUGGGCCACGCGCGCGGGUUGGGCCAGCAGGAAGAGAAAGAAUGGAGAGAAGAAGGGGAUUCGGCCCAUGAGAUUAAAAUAGGGUUUACCAUUUUUGAUUAACCACAACGGAAUGAAAACAAAAGAAUUGGAGAAAGAUUCAGAAAGAAAUCGGAUAAAAUCCAAUGGAAUUUUGAGACGAGAUCAAAGAGGAAGGGGGGUUUGAGAAGGGAACUUCGAGGAGAGUUCGGAAAGAUUUCAAAGAAGUUGAGGAGGGAUUUACUUUGCCUGGGAGAUAGGCUCAGCGAAGAUUCGAGAAAACUCUGCUACGGACUUGUGCACUCCAAGAGAAACUCAAAACCCUAAACAAGACUAAACUCCAAACUGACUCACGAACAAGAGCACUCGCCUACAAACAAUUCUAUAUGUAUGCAACAUUUUGUUAGCGGGUUAGAGUCGAGUUAGACCUAAAAACUAUAUGCUUAACACGUUUACAAGAAAAUUUUAAAAAGCUCAUAUUUUUGGAAAAAUCCGGGAUGUUACAUAUUGCACGAAUAUUGCACGAAGGCCGGUAUAGAUAGACAUGCAUGAAGGCCGGCCGUCGCUCGCCGUACGUUCGUGUUGGGGUCGGAGUGUCAAACCACGAGGAUACGUAUUGCACGGGAUUCUUCGUCCGAACGUUCGGACGGAACGUUCCGCCGAUGUUUCCCGCCCGGUAGCUUUCCCGCGUGCGCCGUCGAUGUUUCACGCGUGAGCUGCGGUUUGGAGUUGCUGUUUCCGCUGCGGACGGAAGCCGCCGCGGCUUGCCGUAUGACAGUUUCGAUUCCCCAGCGUAUAGGUAAGUAUACGUAUGCUUUUUUUCUUUUCUUUUUUCUUUUUUUUUCUCUUAUUUUCUUUUCAAGUUUUUUUUUUCUGUUCAUGCUUUAUUUUUUAUUUAUAUUUCUUUUUCGUUUUAUAUGAUUUUAAUUUUCAUCUCAUCUUUUACUUUUUAUGUUUCUUUUUCUGGUUUUUCUUUUCUUUCCUUAUUAUUUUUAUUUACUUCUUUAAAUUUAUUUCUUUCUAGUUCACGUGACUUUUAUUAUUCUAUUUUUUUUAUAGUGUUGCUGCUUUUUUUUGUUUAAUGUUAUUUUAUUUUGUAUUGUAUUAUUUUUCUCUUUUUUCUUUCUCUUUUUCUUCUCGUGCUUCAUUUUUUAUUUUAUUGGUUUUUUGCUUAUGUGAUUUUUAUUAUUCUUUUAUUUUUUAUGUUUAUAUGUUUAUUUUUUACUUUCCUUUCUUUUCUUAUUAUUUUUAAUUUCUUUUCUCUGAGUU